GCCGAGAUGGUGGAAUUGGCAGACACGCUAGCUUGAGGGGCUAGUGGCCGUUUAGGCCGUGCAGGUUCAAGUCCUGUUCUCGGCACCA
rnacentral:tRNA from 1 species